UUUAACAUGAGAGUUCGAUCCUGGCUCAGGAUGAACGCUGGCGGCGUGCCUGACACAUGCAAGUCGAACGAAGAAAUAACGCUGCAGAGACUUCGGUCAAAGCUUGUUGUAUCUUAGUGGCGGACGGGUGAGUAACGCGUGGGCAACCUGCCUCAUACUGGGGGAUAACAGUUGGAAACGGCUGUUAAUACCGCAUAAGCGCACAGAGUCGCAUGACUCAGUGUGAAAAACUCCGG
rnacentral:rRNA from 1 species